CGGAGUAUGGCGCAGUUGGUAGCGCGCAGGGCUGGGGGUCCUGAGGCCGUGGGUUCGAGUCCCACUACUCCGA
rnacentral:tRNA from 1 species